rnacentral:tRNA from 1 species
UGUUCUGUGGCUUAGUUGGCUGAAGUGUUGGACUAGCGACACGGAGUCGUGGGUUCGAAUCCCACCAAAACAA